GCAAAUACCUUAUAUAUAUUAUUAGCGUGGGCUGGUGGUUGUGACCUGUGGAUGAACUGAUGGGCUGCUUGUAUAGAGCUCAAGGUGGCUGAUAUGCUACUUUGUUUUCUUUUCGAUAUCCAGAUCUUAGAUCCUGA